UACAGAGGGUGCAAACGUUGUUCGGAUUUACUGGGCGUAAAGCGUGUGUAGGCGGUUUGGCAAGUCGGAUGUGAAAGCUCCGAGCUCAACUCGGAGAGGCCACCUGAUACUGCUGUGACUAGAAUCCAGUAGGGGAGUGUGGAACUCCUGGUGUAGCGGUGAAAUGCGCAGAUAUCAGGAAGAACACCAGCGGCGAAGGCGGCACUCUGGGCUGGAAUUGACGCUGAGGAGCGAAAGUGUGGGUAGCAAACAGG
rnacentral:rRNA from 1 species